rnacentral:rRNA from 1 species
CCUACGGGUGGCUGCAGUGAGGAAUAUUGGUCAAUGGACGAGAGUCUGAACCAGCCAAGUAGCGUGAAGGAUGACUGCCCUAUGGGUUAUAAACUUCUUUUAUAAAGGAAUAAAACGAGGCACGUGUGCCUUUUUGCAUGUACUUUAUGAAUAAGGAUCGGCUAACUCCGUGCCAGCAGCCGCGGUAAUACGGAGGAUCCGAGCGUUAUCCGGAUUUAUUGGGUUUAAAGGGAGCGUAGAUGGGUUGUUAAGUCAGUUGUGAAAGUUUGCGGCUCAACCGUAAAAUUGCAAUUGAUACUGGCAGUCUUGAGUACGGGUGAGGUAGGCGGAAUUCGUGGUGUAGCGGUGAAAUGCUUAGAUAUCACGAAGAACCCCGAUUGCGAAGGCAGCAUACUAAACUGUGACUGACAUUGAUGCACGAAAGUGUGGGUAUCGAACAGGAUUAGAUACCCUAGUAGUC